CUCGAACAUCUCGAUUUUCGGUGUGCUUGAAUAUGAGCCUGUUAAGUUUGUGCCGAGCCCAAAUAAGAUAUCAAAUGCUGAACAAUACAAGCAGGUGCGCGACCCCUUAUUUGGAAAUUUGAGUGAGAAAGCUGCAGCAGGGAACUCUGUUUUAAAAUUUGCAGCAGGGAAUGCGUUGGUGCCUUUAACAAAUCAAACUAUAUAUGCAACUGUCCAGUGCAGCCCUGAUUUGAACGAACAAAACUGCAGCGAUUGCCUUAAAGAGUCCAUCCCAAAUAUUACAGAGUGUUGUGGUGGUGUGGGUGGAGGAAGAGUUCUUAGACCCAGCUGUUAUUUGAGGUUUGAGUCCAAUCCUUUCUGAGUCUGGAGCAGAUACCCUAAUAAACCUUCCAAGGAAAUAAUACGAGUAUCAUUACAAUAAAAGUGUCGCCACCGUCGUUCUGACAAUUGGUAUUGUCAUUAUGCUUGUGAGAGUCUGGAAGCGAAGCAGGGCAAGAAAGUUUAUUCAAUUUUGUUUUAUUACAAUUUUGAAUUUAACAAGGGCACUCUUCGUUUGUUGGUCCUUGAAUUUGUCAAGACCCAUGUAAUAGGGUUUUGCUUUGUAGUGUUCCUUUUC